GAGGAGCUGAGUUAGGGAGGGGGGAUACUUACGCUGGGCUGCUCACCAAAAUACCAAAGUGUGCUUGAAUUACGCCGCACCUGCCAGCGAGGCACGAAAAUGGAGCAAAAAGUUGUCAAUCAACAGCAGGACCUCCAGACUGAAUAAACCUUCAUCUUCUCUCCUUGGCUGGAGAGUAUUAAAAUUGUCACCUCAACCUUAAGGGUGACCAAAUAGAGCACGUGAACUCAACUCAAGAGUGCACCAGGUGCACUCAUUCUUGAAACAGACGCCAACCAUAUAUCCCCAGAGUGGCUGAUUCUCCCUGUGAUUCUCUUUAAGUGCAGAGUAAAGAGAAUAACUGCAAAUGAUUCAAUUUCAGGUUCAAAGACACUUCACAAGGAUUAUCUAUCUGUACACAACAUCAGCAGUAAAACAUUCUUUGUCCCAUUUGUCUAGCAUGUUUAUAAGCCAAACUGUUAACAACAAAUUUAUUCCAGGUUUUCCAUGGACCAAGAGCUCCUCCUAAUGGUGUUUUCUGGAUUUGGUUUUGGUCAGAAUCCAAAUUCGUAUUCCUUGAUUUUAAUUAUGUUGCAUGUUAUAUACUUUGUAGCUUAGUGAAACGUAUUCCCAAAGUAGUUUAGCAAUAUUAGAAGUUCUAACUGAAAACCCUUUAUGCAUGAGUUAAGAGUGUUUUGAAUGUUUUAAAUGCUAUUUUUCGUUUACCUCACCAUAAUAUAUAGCUUAAUCAAUUUUAAGUAUAGGUUGACAAGGUUAUAUCCAAAUUCAUUAUUAUCACUUAUGUGUUUCUUAAGCCCUAUAGUGUUUCUGUUGGAAAAGAUAAUUUGAUUUUCAUCUCUCCAACUUUCAAAGAGCUUGUUAAUCCUCAGGUUAUAGGAUACCCGAAAAAAAUUAAGGUUUUUGCUUUGCAUUUACUGUUAUGGUUUUGAUGCAUCUGCUCAUAAGAAACGAUGAGUGAAAAAAGAUAAGAUGUUCCUUUUUCCAUGUUUUUAUUCGCCUCAAGUUUUCAGCCUAUUACCAGAAACUUGGAUGAAACUACCCAAAUUUCUUUACAACAUAAAAAAUUAUCUUCGCACAAAGAUUACCAAAGUCUAAGUUUGUUAUUUUGUUUAAGUUGCUAAAGUGACUCCUGAAGAUAAUAUCGGCUGGCCAGCAAAAUUAUCUUCUUUAGUUAUCGCUGCGAAUAUAUCUGCAGUAGCCUGUAGCUACCUCUGAGCACCAGAUGGAUUAUCUGCCAAGCCUGCAUUUGCCACAAGGUUCCGAGAGGAGCGCUGAGGGAUACACAGGGCACUGGUCGUGUGCGCUUGUGUGAGACAUCAGAUUCACCGUUCGGCUGACAACUGCGAGCGGAACCCACCAAAACUACCUGUAGCCUGGACCUUCUGCUGACCUACUCUCGGCUCUCUGAAAAACUGGGUUGAUGCUGUCUCAUGCGUUCAUAGUUUGAUUCUUAAUUACAACUUGGCUCUUUCUCUAAAUUUCCACCAAAUUUCCCAUCCAAAAUUUACCCUCGUAACCCUGUUAAUGUAGGUUAAAUUUGUCCUUAUUCACUCACUAUCAUUAACCUCUAUAGUCUUAGCUAAGUUUAAACCAUUCCUCCAUUUACCUAUAAAGUUAGACUUUAUUCUCAUUAUUUGAUCAUAAUUUAUUGAAAUUAUGUUAUCACCUAACAUUUAAUAAUAAAGUAUCCAUUUCAUUUUAAGAUGUCAUCUCUUAGUGGUCCUUCUAGGAGUGAAGUCCCUGAAAUGAGAAUUCCAGCAUAAGAUGUGAGAUUGAUUUAAAUCUGUUUAAGGUUGACUCAGUGUUUGAUUACUUCAUUAAACUUUGUUUUCUUUCUUUUUCCCACCGGUAAAUGUGGGUGGUGGCCCUUUCAACAAGUGCAUAAAUGUCAUAAUUUAAUUGUUUUUAUUUUCGGACAGAUAUUAUAAAUUCAAAUUGCUACAAUUAAUCGAUUGCAAUCCAUGCCCAACAAUGUUCCAUGUAUGUUAGCCAUUAAAAAUACUAAAAGGGGAGACUUAGACAUUUUCAGAAGACUGGACUGGACUUCAGAUUUAAUUUGACAAUCUGUCUCAUGUUGAUAUUCAGCAUAUGUUCAAAAUUAGCUCCAGAUAGACUUGCAAUUCUAACAUAAAAAAAUAAAUGAUGCACACAGAUUUACACCUCUGUCAGCUUAUUUAUCCAAAUACUAAGUCAAUCAACAUAAAGUUGCAGAGACGUGUGUGUUUGCGAUCAUAAGGCUGUGACAUAGAGGCAAGCUUAGUAGCGCAGCAGGAUCGAUCAAAUCUGCAGUUCUUCUAAUGGCCACUGAGAGUUGGCCUUAAAAUCAAGUUACUGUAAUUACCAUCCACUUUUCUGUAAAAAUUAUAGACUUUUUAAAACACAGAAAUAGUCUGUUUUCUGUUUUUUUUCUUCUUAGUACUGUUCCGUGUGCAUGUUUAUUCUAGCUCUAAAGAUGACGUUUUAACAUGGGUGUUAAUGGGGUUUCUUGGGCUUUAACUUGUGGUGCUGCAUUGACUUCAUUUUUCAGCAUCAGAAGUUGGUAUCAGAUGUGAUAACUUCACAGCAGAAUCCAACAUCUUAACAGCCUGGUACCAAAUGAUUUGGUCUUCAUGGCUUAUCCUCCUAUUUGUGAUCAUUUAUAAGUUCUGCAUGUUUGGGGGCUUUUAAAUCACAGGUGUAUACUGAGAGGUGUCUGUCACCACAGUCAUUAAAGCUGAUAUCUUGGCCGUGUUUCUGUUCCUCUUGCUGCCCUUUGAAAAUGUUCAUACAAAUAUUGCAUUUUGCAUUUAUGGCAAGUUGGUAAACAAACACACCAUCCUGUGCCUGGGCUUUUUUAGUGGGAGAAAUUUUAAUCUUAUUUCAUAUGUUACCAUAUAUUUGCAAAUAUUCACAGGCUUCACACCUUGCUGGGGUUUCCUCAGUUGUUGAAGUAUUUCUUACGGAGGUGUCAUAACAGCCUGCAUACUAGAGAAGGCAGCAGGUUGUUUUGAUGAAAAGACUUUGUGUUGUUGAGUAACCGAGUUUGUUUCAUUUAAUCAGUGCUCACUGUCCUACAGACGUCUGUGUGGGUGAGCUGAGUCUAUUAAGCUUCACAGGCUCAUUUGGCUCUAUUAGGGCCAAAUAAUUUCAACUACCACAACUUUAAGAAUCUAAUUCUGUGAGGAACCCUGCGGUAAAAUCUGAAAAUCCCAAAUAAAUCAGUUGUUUACUGUGUGAUGGCUGUUGGCUUUGGUAGCUUAGUGUUUGUGGUCAUAUGAGGUCACUCCUUCAACCAUGUCACCCUCUCCUCUCACUUGACUGGAUUUACACAGUUUGUUCACUGUCCUUCCGGAGAAAAUUUUUCACGAGAUUCCAGAUCAUAGACUGUAUAAAGAAUGGACGCCAUCUGCCUCCUCGCUGGGUAAAGCCACUGCAAGAACAGCACCCUCUGUUGACGGGCUGCAGUUUAGGUAAUAAAUUCUGUCACCUCCAGCAAUCCCUUUGGAUCUGUGGACAAACUUUAGAAAGUUAUUACACAGAAUAUACAUUUUUCUCCCCCCUGCUUGCGAUGUUGACAUGUAGUUACAGUAAGACUGGUUUGUGCUCAAGUCCUCUUUUUUUCUGUCCAGCUCCAUUUUUAAAAGUUACUGGGGGGUUCAUGUUUUCUAUGAUUGACACUUGAUACAGCCUAUGGGGGUACAAGGAUUGCAUAGCUCACCCAGGGGGUUACGCUGUUUGAGCCGAGCGUUAUCACAGCGACUGUCGGUGACUCUCCCGCCCAAUGCGUACAAUGUUACUGUGCAAGUGGUGGUGCUAAUAGGUGGAGAAAAUCCUGGAAAUGCCAAGAGCAAUUCGGCUUCAAAUUCGUAUAAUGACGGAAGGCGGAGCCAAGUUGUCCAUAGUAUAUACAGUCUAUGUUCCAGAUUCUAGACAAAUUAAUUCCCCUUCGGGGAUAAAUAAAGUUCUUGUAUUGUGUUCAAGUUUUGACAUGGCUGAAGUACAAGUUUGGUUUUGAAUGAAAUAAGUGAAAAUCAAACCAUCUGACUGUUUUGUGAUCUGAUGUUUUAUGAGACAGUGGCCAGGAUAGGUGCAGUUGCUGGUCUCACACACUGGUUGCUUCAGGCUGGUUUAUGAUCUGAAUGUUUUGAGCCUUAUGUCACUGAUAAAACUUUUAUUUUCAGUAAUUGAAUGUUUCUGAAGAAGACACAAAAAGAGUUGACUAACACCUGCUGCAGCACUUUACAACAUUAAUUUGAGACACUCUGACACCCAAACUUAUGCACUUUUAUUUUAUGCAUUGUUCAAGCUCAAAAGGAGAACAUACUGUACAUAAUGUUCCUGAGUGCCUGUGAGAAGGGUGGCAAUGUGACAGACAGGCAAGAGGAGCUGUGAGUGUAGGAUUCUGAGAUUUAGUCUGUGUGGUGACAGUCUGCCAUCUCUUUCUUGACGUGACCACCAGGCCUAAUGGCAGGAGCGGAGCUUGGAGACAUCACGGUCACUGAGAGCUGCUGUGGCAUUGAGGUGGGCUGCUGAGGAGCCUGGGGAGGAGAGAUGGGACUGUAAUGAGGCUCUCUGCCUGGGGGCGCAGCAGUUUGGAAAAAACUGCAGUACAUUCACAGACAGUGAAGCUCAACACUUUCUAUAUGCACGUAAUAUUACAAACAUCAAUCACUCUAAUGCCAGAAAUGAUCAAAUCAAGCUGUUAAACUCAGAAUCGGUAUAUUUGAGCCGCACAGCUGGUUCGUUGCUGCUAUGAUGUAGAGCUUAAGCUUAUGACCUAAUCACCAAAGAAUGGAAAUAUCCGGGAAGUUUGUGGAUCAUACAGCUCAUUGUGGAUAAAUAUCUUCCAUCCAUGCCACGUGGAAGAGCCAAAGAGAUAUUAUUUACAAGAUACUCAAUAUGUAUUUGCUCAGAUGCAGGGGCACACAGUGCAGGUUGCCAAGGUGCUAAAACACUCGCAACAGUUUGCCUAUGCUUAUGCACAGACACUCACCCACUCAACAAAUAAAAAAAAAAAACUCACAUUCCUAGAUGCCAAUUGCAAAGUAUAUGAUAAAUCAAAGACCUGAAACUAUACUACGCCGCCUAUAAAAGUAUCCACCUCCUCUGAGCUUUUAUAGCUUUACUGUUGCAAACAUGAAUCAUAGUGCAAUCUGUUUUAUGACACUGAUUGAAUGAGAAAAGAAAUAUAAAUGUCAAAGUUAUAAAUACUUAAAGUUUCAUUUAGAUUAAAUCCUAGGUAGGUGUUAAAGGUAUUGAUGAUUUAUUCCACACAGGGUUAUUUCUCAUGUCUGAGUUCCCUUUUCAAAACUCUUAAUCCACAACACAACAGAAGAGGAGGAUAACUAUACUGUUUAUCACUCUUUUGUCUUUGACAUUUCAGCUUUGCUCUCACUCUCAUCUGUUUACUCAUGUUUACAAUGCCUUGUGACAGGUGAAGAAAGAUUGUGAUAGAGGCAGAAUCUGGAGAGUUUUGUAAUUAUCACAGACGGGUUUAAAGCUCUUACCAGGGACGGAAUCACAUUUUUUAAUUCUUCAUCCCUCAAACACAUAUAGCAGGUCUAUAGAGGAGGAGGGAAGUCUGGAAGGCUUUAUGCCUUUCUUGAAAGAGGACCGGACAGUAAAUGGAUCAGGAAACCAGGAGAGAGACACAUGAAAAAGAGGCAGCAGAUUGGUAUCAAACCCAGGCCUUCUACCUAAGUACUAAACCACAUGAGCCUUAUGGCCUGACUAAAAGGUUGAACCAGAACCCAUAUUGCUACAUUUUCACAUAUAUUUAAAAAAUAAUUAGCUAUAGUUUAAUUCGUAUUUUAGGCCAUUGUGCCAUGAGAAAAAUGGGAAUACUGCUGGGAGGUCAGUUUUGUCAAUAUUGUGCAUUUUGGAUUGAGAUUAAUUGGGUGGAGCUCUAUGUCUGUAUAGAGAACUGUCCAAAGUCUGUGUUACAAACUGCUACAGCAAACAUUAAUUGUUCAAAACUGUGAUGUAAUUUCUUUAAAUAAGCAAGAAAUUGAUGAGAAAGUGAAAUAUCAUUUUGUUGUCUGUUACUUGUCAAAUCAGCCAAAAUCUUCCUACAAGCAAUUGAAAUAAUCUGAAUUUAGACUGUACGGGGCCUGGGGGGAUGCAGGCUGGUCUCGUGCAAGUGGGCAGGGACCCGAGGUAGUCCACAAAUUUAAAGACCUCCCCUCCACCCAUAUUAUUAUUAUUGUUAGUCGUCACAUCUUUAUUAAUAUUGAAUGUUAUUAUUAUUAUUAUUAUUAUUAUUAUUAUUAUUAUUCUAUUAUAAUUUCCAUUUGCUUGUCUGACAAUUGUAAUAUUUUUUAUCAUUAUUAUUCAUAUAUAUAAUACACACACACACACACACACACACACACACACACACACACACACACACACACACACACACACACACAAAACCACAAAUGCUGUUGUUUGUUGUCUGUCUUGCAUUGUCACUGUAAUGCCGUAUUGCACAAUUAAAAAAAAAAAGAAAAAAAAAUGUAUCCUCUCCAAUUUGGAAACACAGAAAUUAAAUAAUCUAGAAAUACCUGCAUACACUCCUUUAUUUCACCUUUAUCUGGGUAUUUGGUCUCAGUUUACAUUAUGACAUGGGGUUUAAUGACUCAUUAGAAUAUUUAUACGUUUACUGGUGGCUACAAAAUGAUGUGAGGUGGUAACCAUGAUUUCCUAUCAUCAGCCUAGAAAUAAUGUGCAUAGAUGAGAACAAAACUUAAGCCAUGUAUCACUUUCACUCCCUUAUGAGCAGUAAAAUCUAGAUGAUAACCUCUUUUAUAAUGGUGUAUGACUAUUUAUGACUAGGUAGUCUUGAGUUUAAGUGUGACACCACAGUGAUAGUGUGGGGUCUUAAAAUGACACGAGUACUUUAUGUAUUAAGUUAACAAAGUCAUUAUUUGGAUAGAAGUUGCCUCUAUGUUUUUACCUAAAGCAAGCCCCCAGUCCCCCCUCCAGGUGACUGUCAGGUUUUAAUAUUUCAAAUCAGUGUGAUGUGGCCACAGGUGUGCGUUUAUGAAGUGUUCAAUGUGCCACGCAGCCCACAAUUUAUAUAUAAUAGAUGGCUACAGCUUGAGCAUCACUGUGGCAGACGAUACUAAUUAGCCCACAGUUUACAUUCAUUGUACAAACCACGCUGCCUUCCAACUCUUCCUCCUCAACCCUGCUCUCCUCCUGUCAGAGGAGGGGCCUCUACACCCCCAACGCACCAGCGCUCUGUAAUUAAAAUGCUGUAAUCUGGGUGGAUCGUCUCUAUUUUUAAACCCCUCCUGUCAUCUUAUGGCUAAUAAGACACAAAGGAAGAUAUCAAGCAGUGAAAGAGGAGGAGGAUGAGAAGGAGGGGAGAUGGGAACAUCCACAUUAUCAGGUGAUGGCCAACUCUGUGAGAGACAAAGAAACUAACAAACUGAGUUUAAUUGACAAAGAGGCCUGAAGCUUAUUUUUAUACUGUUAGCCACCCCAACCCACACACUUCAUAUUCACUCUUUUAGAGGAGCAGAUUGUUCUCUGUACAACUGAAGAAAAAAGAAAAGGGAGAACAAACCCUUUCAAAAUAAAACAACAGACUCAUAGUUCAGAUCUCUGCCUAAAUAUUCAAAUUAAGUUAUUAUUUUUACAACCUUAACAAAACAAAGUAAAAAUGGGCAGCUUCUUCUUUUUUUUUUCUGAGAUUCUCUUUUUAUUCAGAAAGGCACAUCUCCAUCACAUAUACCAUUACACAUGUGCAUUAACUCAGUUUAUCAAGGACACAGCAAUGUUGUCCAUAUUGCCCUUCUGGAAGUUUCUCCAACAGACCCAAACUAUUCCAGGUGGAAGCAAUAACACGAAAUAAAUAGAGUCAGGGAGCACACCCUUACGUGCAAUCAAAACCUCACACACACAAAACUAAAUAAAUAGAUAAAUAAAUAAAAGAGGUUAGUAUAGUGACUAGGAACGAAAACAAAGUCACUGAGAGGCUAAGUGAGGGAGCUUCCGCAUUGGUGACUCGCUACACAAACCACAAGCCAUUUCCGUGUUUUCCGAUUGAGUUCACAUUUAUUUCCAACGCCGCACAAACAGACAGACAGGGCAAGGCAAGGCAAGAUGAUCUAUGGGCUUAGUUUGACGUUUAAAUCAAGCGGUCAACAAAAAAUACGCUCUCCCUACUCACCCCCUCUCCAUGCAGCCGCCGCAGCACCCAGGUGACUAUAUGUCCAUUCAUUCAAUCAUUCAAUCAUCGCGCCUUGACCACACCCCCUCGUGACGUGCAUGAAAGGUGCAGCCCAGACAGUUGAUGUCAACACACACAAACCUAACCACUUCUGCAUAUGGCACCUACAACCCAGCCCCUAAUUAUUACCAUUAUAAUAAUUACACUAUGACAAAUAAAUGAACCACGAAAUCCACCAAUGUUCUUGUAAUAGUCCAUCAAUACAGUUCAUCAAUGUGCUCUUCUUCCUGGAACACAAGUCAAGUCUAGCCAAGUUCAAAAGUUCAAAAGUUCAGACACACAGCUUCACGGAGGAAAGUCAUGUCGUGCUGUCGGUCAGUAAAGUCAAUCAAACUAUCCUUCCAGAACGGAAGAGUCAGGCAUCCGAUUCCUGCAGAAGACAGACUUUGGUUAUGGGCCUUUCCAAGGAGCUGGUCUUGGUCUUGAUCUGCAGCCGUCGCACAAAUCCUCUUCUGUCUGGGAAGGUUUGGAUAACCCUUCCCAUGACCCACGAGUUCCGUGGUGCUGUUUCAUCCACAAUAAGCACAACGUCCCCUUCUACAAAGUUGCGCUUGAUACCAGUCCACUUCUGACGUUCCUGCAACUGUGGCAAAUACUCCUUAGUCCAUCGCUUCCAAAAUAAAUCAGACAUGUACUGGACCUGCCUCCAGCGUCGAUGAGCGUAGAUGUCGUCUCUUUGAAACUGCCCAGGUGGCAGGGAAGGAGAGGUUUUCAACAGCAAGAGAUGGUUAGGCGUCAGAGCUUCGAGGUCGUUAGGGUCGGGUGAGGCCUUAGUAAUUGGACGGCCGUUAAUGACUGCUUCCACCUCACAGAGGACAGUGUGUAAUCCCUCCUCAUCCAGAUUUUGAACUUUCAAGAUGGAGUUCAAGACCUUGCGCACUGAUCUGAUCAACCUUUCCCAGGCACCACCAUGGUGCGAUCCAGCUGGGGGGUUAAAAAUCCAUUUCACCUCCUUCUGAAGAAGAACACCAUUUAUCUGAGCUUGAUUCCAACCUCUGAUAGCCUCUCUCAGCUCACGCUCCCCUCCAAUAAAGUUCGUUCCAUUGUCUGAUCGAAUUUCUUGGACUUGGCCACGUCUUGCCAUGAAUCGUCGUAGUGCAUUAAUAAAGGCGUCUGUAUCCAGCGAAGGAGCCACUUCGAUAUGAACAGCCCGUAUUGCCAAACAGGUGAACAUGACUCCAUAUCUCUUUACAAUGCUCCUCCGGCUCUUAACCUCGAAUGGUCCAAAGUAGUCCACACCGACUCUGGUGAAUGGAGGUUUGUCUGGGCAGACCCUGUCAACAGGAAGAUCAGCCAUCAGCUGACACCCUGGGGCAGCUUGCAACCUGCGGCAGACAACACACUUUGACAAAAUUCUCCUUAUGGCUGUGCUGACCCCAGGAAUCCAGUAUCUUUCACGUAGUUUGGACAACAUGUAGUUGCGUCCUCCAUGACCAACUUGUUGAUGUAUGUGUCUCAGGAGAACGUCUGAAAUGUGGAGCUCUUUGGUCAGAAUGGCAGGGUGUUUUGCGUCUUCAGGUAAGGCUGCUCGGCUCAACCGACCACCAACCCUCAGGAUACCAUCCUCCAACACAGGAGCGAGCUUGAAGAUGUGACUUCUCCUUUUCACACUUUCGCCCUUCUGCAAACUAGAGAGUUCAUCAGGAAACCUCUUCCUCUGACAAAACCUGAUGAUUUCCUUUUCAGCUACCUGCAACUCGUCUACCGUGAGGAAACCUCUCGGUGCCAGGUCUUUGAACCCUCCUUUUCCAAGCUCCGAGGACGGUCUUUGUUGUUUCCCUGACUCCGACUGAGUGGACGCAGAGUCAGUCCUCUUCUGGCUGAGACCCCGCAGCAUGUUUUUUAGCCUGAGAAACCAAGCCACAGCCCUUCUCAGAUGGGUCCAAGAGGAAAAAUGAUGGAUUAGUUGAGUGGUUGCAUCCACAUCCUCUGAGGCCUGCACUGCAUUCACUGCCACACUGGCCUUGACUUCUGGAUCGUUCAGCAGGAGUUCGCCCAAGCAAUCUGGACUCACAGGCCAGUCUCGUUCAGGUUGCAGGAGAUAUGCAGGUCCUGACAACCACGCCUUGUUCCUCAGGAACAUGUCAACCCUCAGUCCCCUGGAGGCCACAUCUGCAGGAUUGCUUAGGGUGUUUACAUACUUCCACUGCGAUGGAUCUGACACUUUGAGUAUUUCUGCUACCCUGUUGGCGACAAAGGUACGGAACCUGGAAGUCUCAUUCCUGAUGUACUUCAGCACAGAGGUGCUGUCAGUCCAAAACGUUGACUCUAUUAAUGACAUGUGCAACUCCUUUUUCCAAAAGGUGUCCAGACGGCUUGCCAUUGUAGCAGCUGUGAGCUCCAUGCGGGGUAUUGAGACUGGCUUCAAAGGAGACACCCUGGACUUUCCCAUGACAAAGCUGCUGUGCAUCUGGGAACAUGCAUUCCGCAUGAGAAGGUAGGUCACUACACCAUAACCAUUAUUGCUUGUGUCUGUAAAAUGGUGCAGUUGCGCCACAGUGACCUCACCAAAGUCUGGGGGUUUAAGGCACCGCGAAACCUGGAAGUGCUCUAACUGAUGGAGCUCCUUUAACCAGCUCGUCCAUUCCUGUGCAGCUGAUGGUGGUAUAGGGUCAUCCCAACCGAGUCUUUGCCUACACAGCUCCUGCAGGAUGAUCUUGGCAGAAAGAACAAUGGGACUCAGGAUUCCUAGAGGAUCGUAUACUGAACUGAUGACAGAGAGGAUCCCCCUCCUUGUCAGGGGCCUGUCCUGCACCAGGAUUCUAAACUUGAAGACAUCAGACUGGAUGCACCAUUGCACUCCGAGCACCCUCUCCACUGGUAGCAGGUCAUGGUCCAAAUCCAAGUCCUUCAUGCCCUUAGCUCUUUGGUCCCCUGCAAUUGCUGCCAUCACUGCACGGCUAUUGCUCAUCCAUUUGGUCAACUUAAAACCUCCUUUGGCACAUACAGAGACCAGGUCAUGAUACAGUGCCACUGCUUCUUCCUCACUGGCCGUCGACACCAGACAAUCGUCCACAUAAAAGCAGUGCAGAAUCCUUUCAAUGGUCUCUCGGCAGAACUGUUCUUCAUUGUCCUUAGCACAUUUCCUCAAUGCAAAGUUAGCACAACUUGGUGAGGACGUUGCACCAAAAAGAUGUACCAUCAUUCUAAAGUCUACCAGGUCUUGGGUGCAGUCACCGUUGGGCCACCAGAGAAACCUCAGUAGAUCAGCAUCUUCCCUUGGCACCUUUACUUGGUGAAACAUGGACUCUAUGUCUGCCAUGAUCACUACCGGUUCUUUCCGGAAUCUGGCCAGGACGCCAAUCAGCGAGCUAGUGAGAUCUGGCCCUUGCAGCAGUUGAGCGUUGAGAGAUGCCGACUGGAAAGUGGCAGCACAGUCAAAAACCACACGGAUUUUUCCCUUUUGUGGGUGAUACACACCAUGGUGUGGGAUAUACCACAAUCUUCCAUCAGUACGUGCCAGCUCAUCUGAAGGUACUUGCUCUGCGUAUCCCUUGGUGACCAUAUCAUUCAUGAAAUCAGUGUACUGCUGAUGAAAUAACGAGUCCCUUUUGAACCUCCUCUUCAGGUUUAGAGCACGCUGCUCGGCAACCUUCUUGUUAUUUGGCAUGGUCACGGAGCUUCGCAGGGGCAAUGCAAUCUGGUAAUGACCAUCUACAAGCUUGGCUGAAUCCUGGACCAACUUCAUGAACUUUUGGUCCUCUCUUGACUGGCCAGGUUGCUCAUCGUAGCCACAUUCUGGGAAAUCUGUUCUGAACUGCUGCUGCCAGAGCUCCUCCAAGUUCAGGACUGAAAUUCUGUUAACGGUCGCAACAUCCAUUCCAUCACCACUGUUUCCCCCCAGUGGCCCAUUAACAGUCCAACCCAAAAUAGUCUUGAUGGCAUACGGUCCAUUGUCCACACUACGGAUGACUUGUAAUGGUUCCAGUGCCCUUGGUACGUUUGUUCCAAUCAACAGCUCAACUUCGGAGUCGAUAUCAGGUAAGUGAACAUCUCUCAAGUAUGCCCACCUCUCGAGAUCCUUUUGACAUGGAAUAUUUCCUCUAUGCACCGGCAUGCACUCCUGUGUAUAGGUGUUGGGCAAAUCACAGUAUGUCUCUCCGUCCAAACCGGCCACCUCCAGUCCCGUGACCACACAGCUGUUAACGACCUUCUCCUGACCCAUUGUCCGCAAAAGGAUUCUUGUCCUUUUUCCUGAGAGGUUGAGCUUGUUCAUGAGGUUUACUGUGCAGAAAACAGCCGUGCUACCUUGAUCCAAGAAGGCAUAAGUAGCCACUACAUGAUUACCUUUCUUGGAUUUAACCAAUACAGGAACUAUAGGAAGCUUGCACUCAUGGCCACCAGCCCCAGUCAACCCAUUAGAUACCAGAGCACAGCCCACUGCGGCGCCUGGUUCUUCUUCUGUCACUGGGUCCUUUUCCUUUGAAUGGAUGUGAAGCAUUGUGGGGUGUUUCAAACUACACACUUUGCAUGACAGGCGCUUUCGACAGUCCUUGCUGAUGUGUCCUAUACACAAACAGCCGAAGCAUAUUCCCUUUUCCCUUAAAAAGGUGAUCUUUUCAGUGUGAGUCCUCUUCUCCAUUCGAGAGCAAUACUCCAAUGUGUGCCCACCCUCACAAAACAGACAGACUUUCUUGGCUGAUGAGGUUGUGUCUGGCCUCCUUCCUUUUGUUGCUGUGUAAUUGUGCUGUACAGUAGUCACUGUUGUGGCGAAACUACUUCCCUUUGGCCGAGAUCUAGGUUUUAAGCUGGUUCGAUUCAUGCCUCUGUUUACUGCUGGUGAUGAGUCUUGAAUGUCUCCAAAUACUGGGUCUGUUAGAAUCCUUGCUUGCCUUUCAAUGAAAUGGACAAUAUCAUUGAAUGUAGCCCUUUGGUUACGUCUUUCUUGUAUUUCACAAGCAGUUGUCCUCCAUCGAUCCCUCAGCUUGUAAGGCAGUUUUUUUAUUAUUGUCAGCAUGUUAGCAGGCAUAUCCAUUUCGAACAUAUACUGCACUUCGUUCAUCGCAUUUGCGCAGCCUCUGAGAAAUAGGCUAUAAUCUUGGAGAGCUUUAACGUCCUCUGAUUUUAUUGGAGCCCAUGACAACGCCUUGUCCAUAUAAGCAGCAGCAACCCUUUGUUCAUCCCCAAAAUGUUCUUGUAAUAGGAUUUUAGCUUGAGCAUAGCCCCUGUUUGGGUCCAUAUGCUGGCAGCUUCUCACAAGAUCUCUUGGACGACCUCUAGUGUAUUGCUCGAGGAAGUACAGGCAAUCACUAUGACUGUUGGACUUGCUUUCAAUACAGUUUUCAAAGGCUCUCAGGAACGUAUGGAACUGCAGUGGGUCACCAUCAAACACCUGGAUGUCUCUUUUAGGCAAGAGCGCAUGUUGCUGCUGUUGUAUCAGUAGUGUUGUAAUUUCAUUCUGUCUUUUCAUGAUGUCAAGAACAUUGUUUUGCUCCCCAUGACUUGCUGAAUCCCCAACAUUAAGACUGAUUCCAUGAUGUAAGUGAUCAUUAUGAGCAUUGAGCAGAGGAUUAAAAUCAGGUAAGUGGCUCUUCAAAGUGGGAGGCUGAAAGUGAACAGCAUGGGUCGAUCCAUCUGAUUUAGGCCUUGUCACAGGGUCACUGUCCAUGAUUUUCGAUUGCUGUUUAGAUGUUUCCAGCCUCAGAGGAAUGAAAGGAGUGGCAUUGACAUUGAACUUUGUUGUUUCUUGUUCAUUUUUAACGUAGGAACUCAUUGCAUUGGACCUGUCUGUUGUAAUACUCUUCGAACCAGAUAUGCUUGCAGCCCUUAGAACGCUCACUUUAGCCAAGUGUGCAGCAAUCUCUUCAUCCAACUUGAGCUUUUCCUUGCGUUUCCGUAUUUGCUGCUCCUCCUCUUCCAGUGCAUGUCUGUCCUGUAAAAGUUUUUGCCGUGCCAUCAGUGCAGCUAAAUCAGCUUCUGCCUUGAUGCGAGCAGAAGAAGUUCCUGAUACGUUGGACCUUUUACCACUCCCAGAGCCUUUUCCACUCACAGCACUUUUUGCAGAUCGUUUGCUUUGCACAUUUGAUAUGCUAUCACUUGGGUUCACGUCAUCCUGUAGACCUUCAUAAGGUGUGAUGGGGCCUGUGUCCUGUGCUGCUGCCUGUAAAGCAUCAUAUAUUUGAGGGUCACACACAUGCUUUGUUGCUGCGGCCUCAUCAUUAUCCACGAUAUUUAGAACAUGUUCAUUCUCAUCCAACCACUGAAUCACAUCAUCCUUGAAUGUACUGCUGUAACGUUCAAUACUGGAGAACCAAUCAUUCUGUUUAAGUUUUUCAUCCUCAGGUAACAGUGGAAUUAUUGUUUGAUGCAGGUUGAUAGCAGUAUCAAGGAGCUGAGUAAUAGUUUGCAACUGAGAUUUCACUUCCUGUACAUUUUCCUUUCGUUUCAUCAGCUCUUUCAUUGCAGGUAUUAAGCCUUUUAUUUUAUUCACAUGUGUUUUACGUUCAUUUUGUAGAUUUACCACUUUAUAUGCCAAUGCUUUUGCAGUAAGUUUCACAUUCCUUUUAGCAACCACAGUUUCAUUGUUUUCCACUUGUUCCAUGGCUUCACUCAUAUUGUCCUUUUGAGAUUCGGCAGUUCAGUGGUUCGCGCAGUGAAUCCACAAUACACCCAGCAUAGUUUUAUUUUUCCACAGAUUGUUUCACAUCAAUUAACAUCGGAAAACACCACAGGUAUUUACUCUCAACGAGCAGGACAGGCUGUCUCAGCGGACUUUCACACACGCACAGCGCUCCCCAAUGGAUGCGCUGUAUGCGCUGUAAUCAAACUGCGUUCCGUCCAACAUACACAGAAUGAAUGGAUGCGAGUGAUACAGUCCUACCGGUCUGAAGUCCACGUUGCGAUCAGUCUGGCGUUGCAGUUAGACACCGUGUGGCGUGAUCGCGUCCGUAUAUGCCGUUCGGGUGUUGGUACUCCUUUUUUGUUGACAAAAUAUAGUGACUAGGAACGAAAACAAAGUCACUGAGAGGCUAAGUGAGGGAGCUUCCGCAUUGGUGACUCGCUACACAAACCACAAGCCAUUUCCGUGUUUUCCGAUUGAGUUCACAUUUAUUUCCAACGCCGCACAAACAGACAGACAGGGCAAGGCAAGGCAAGAUGAUCUAUGGGCUUAGUUUGACGUUUAAAUCAAGCGGUCAACAAAAAAUACGCUCUCCCUACUCACCCCCUCUCCAUGCAGCCGCCGCAGCACCCAGGUGACUAUAUGUCCAUUCAUUCAAUCAUUCAAUCAUCGCGCCUUGACCACACCCCCUCGUGACGUGCAUGAAAGGUGCAGCCCAGACAGUUGAUGUCAACACACACAAACCUAACCACUUCUGCAUAUGGCACCUACAGUUAGGUUUACAUGAAGCACAAGUAAAUAAAAUCAGAUCUGAUUGGUUUUACAUACUCUGUCUAUUUGGUCCAGAUCUCAUAAAAAAUUUCUGUCUCAACUUAAAGGGAAAAAGAAACCUUCUCAAUAACUUAAAUCUCAUAAACAAUUUCAAUCCAUUCGUCAAUGGUAGAAGGUCCCACUUGUAACCAUUUCCUAGUGAUACAUUUCUUACUAGCUGCCAACAAUACAGUCAGCAGUUUUGGGUCUUUUAUGUUCCAUGUUUCAAACACUAUAUUACCCCAAAACAUAGUUUCACAUUUUAAUGGAAUGUUCACAUUAAAUAUAUAUUUGUAAUAUGUUUGUGGAUCUCUACUCAGUCGGAUUUUAUUGCUUGACAGUCCCAAAAAAUAUGGAAGUGGUUGGCUCCAUUAGACCCACAGAGUCUCCAGCAAGUGUCCCCGCUACCUUGAUGAUGGUUUUGAUGGGUGUGAUGAAAAAUCUUGUUAUUCUUUCCCAACAGAACUCCCGCCAUGUGUUUGACCUGGUUGAGAUCCAUUGUAGUUGACAUAUUUUCUCCCAGCUCUCUUCUGUAACUAUUAUCCUUUUAUUUCCGUUUCCUAUUUCCUUUUUUAUGUAUUCUGUAUUCUCUUGUUUGGAUAGUUAGGUGGCAUUAUAAAAUUUGGAGAUAAUUUUGUUGCAAGAUCUGGAUUUAGUUUAAGAUAAGAAUAUUUCCAUGAAUGGGUAGUUUCUUUUGAUCAAACUUCACCAGAAUUUAAUCAUUUGGUCACUCUGCAGAUGUUUGGAAACUGCAUUCAAACACUGAUAGUGACACACUGAAGAAUGAUAAUGAGUUUUGUCUCUGAAGAUAAAUAAAAGUGCAUAUGAAAGAACUUUCAUUGUUAGAUAUUUGAUUUUGCCUACAUUUAAACUCUGUAUGCUACUGCAUGAAGAACAUUAAAUAAAAAAUGACUCAUGACUGCCCACAGAGUUAAGUUUAAAAAAGUACAAUUAAUUUUAUACUUUACUAAAACCCUAACCUGUAAAAGAAAAUAAAACCAUUAAAAUUAACUGCAAUUAACUGAACCAGCACUUCAGGUACCUCCUGGCAUCCCAACUGUACUUAACCGUACAUAAAAUGGACUCACUUUGAGUGUCUGCGGGUUAUAAUUAGAACAUUUCAGGAACCAUAUAUAAUGCAUUUAUGACAUAUGUCAAAUAUGAAUGAGACCCUGGAGCUUUCUGACUUUUAAGCAGCUCUCUAUAGGAACUCUGCUGCUCAGGUAUAAUUAAAUUAUCGGCUCUUCUCAGUAAUAUUUAAUCACACUCAAACACACACACACAUAGGUGGUCAUCAGCGUUGGUUAAAGGGUUAGCUGAUCGCAUUAGAGAUCUUUUAUUUAUACGCCAGAGGUGGAGAGUGGAGGUCAUGCGUGGAGACGCCCAGCAGUUCUCACAGCAUUAGCCACGUCAGCUGGUUCAGUGCUGAAUGUAAAUAGCAUCACUGUAACCUGGAACUUGCUGUCCAUCUUCAGAUGUUCUCCUGGUGGCUGGAAGUUUCCCCCCUCAGAAACAGUGACAUGAUAGAUUUAAGGUUCAGGCAUCUUUUAUUGUUUCGUUAGUGUGAAUCAUUUCCAUUCCACCCCCUGACCACCCCAACCUCUCACACACACCCCACUUAUACCCCUCACCCUUUGUAGCGUAAGCUCAAGAACACGACCAUUACCCUUCCCCGUUCCCAUGGCAACAUCGCCCUGCAGCCCUUGUGUGGUGAUAGAAGUGUGUGUACUGUAUGUGUGUGUUCACAAGCCGAUGAGGUUUGUUUAGAUUAUGUCAGAGAAGAGAGUGAUCUGUUUUGGGGGGGUUAACGUCUUCUUUGUCUUAACGCUGUCUGUUUCUGAUCAACGUGCUCUGCUCAAAGCCUCAACAACAGGAAGCUAAAGUUUGGGGGGGAAAGAGCUCGUGUUUGUAAGAGUAUUUUGGGGUUGAUUAGUUUGAGGUUUCCUUAUUAUUCUCUGUGAUGGAUCCCUGCGGCAGGAGUUUGGUAAAUCUCUGCAGUUCGAUAGCAGGGAGGGCUCAAUGCUUUCUCAUCAUGGGCCAUCUAAUGUCACCUCGACCUCUUUGGGAAAGUAUAAUUUUACACCCUUUGUGUGGUAGCAAUCUUCUGUAAUACUCGGUGAGAAAAGAGGCAAGAUGAAAUGAAAUGAUAUCUAAAGACGAGAAGAGCACAAGAGUGACAUGACACAGCCAAAGAAGAGCAAAGGACGGGGCAGAGAGAGUGGGUGUUAUUCUUUCUUUGGCUGCCACUGUCUGGCAUAUGGGGAUGAGGUAGACAGAAAGCCAGAAAAGCAAUGUGAGAUAAGGCUUUGAAUAUAUCUCCCCUUGCUGACUUCUUUUUCUCUUCUCCCCAAGGAGGUGGGCUGACUGACAGAUGCUCCCCACCACCACUCCUUCCUCCCCCGGCUGUGGGCAAGCUUUGUAUAGUGCCUACCACCAACUCAGGCCAAUUAACACAUCUCCAUGCACACUGGGUUUAUUAAUAUAAACUAGUUAGCCAUGGACACCAAUUAUCUUGCCUUCAGCCGUUUAAAAUUAAGUGGUAAGAGGUGGUGUGUGGUAGGUGUUAGGAAGAGUUUAUUAUAAUGCUGCGGCACCAUUGUACGUCCAAUCACAGUGAUUUUGAGUAGAUAUCAAUGGGCUGAGAUGGACACCAUCCCCUGGAGAGGACGUUGUCAUUGGAGAAAAGCAUAUUAAUGUGUCGGAUGUUUGCUUUUUGUUUGCUGCAGGCUUGAUUAGUCCCAUGGUGAUCAUUUUCAUCUAAGCUGGUGUCACCGUGUCUCACCUCUCACCCCCUCUAGUGCUUCUCUCUGAAUGCUGACUUAAUAAGACACAACCUGUGCCAAGCUGCCUUUUCAUCCCGGGUGCCAUGCCAUCCUCCCGCUCUGACUGGAUUUGUCUGUGUGUGUAUCUGGACGCACGAUUGAUCUGAACAAAUUCUUUGGUUAAAUAAAAAAAUAAAGAGAGACAGAGAGAGAGAGAGAGAGAGAGAGAGAGAGAGAGAAAUAAAAACAGGUUUUGUGCAGAGUAUGACUCGCCAUCCCUCAUGGGAAUUAGAUUCCACCUCACUGCCGAAGGCCUCCACUAACAAUGAGCCUUUGCAGAAUUAUGCUCCAUCUGAAACUUUCCUCCAGGUUGGAGGCUCAUUAGACGAUUCAAUUUUAAAAUAUGUUAUGAUUUCCUCAAUGAUAGUGAAGGCACAUGGGAACCAAUAUGUCACUCCAAAUAAUGGCACUGCAUAGACCGAUGUACCUGCUCAGCUUUUUCUCUCGGUGCAUAAAAGCUGCAGGGCAGAAUCCAAUGAGUGGCCACCUGUGCUGCUAAAGAUUUCACUGCUUUGCUCUGAUUUGCACACAUCUGUUCCUUCUGAAUAUGGUUAAGCUCUUUACUCAAAACAACACUGGUGAGAGCUAAACCUGUGAAU
rnacentral:lncRNA from 1 species